AUUGAACGCUUGCGGCAGGCCUAACCCAUGCAAGUCGAACGAGUGGCGGACGUGUGAGUAAUGUCUGGGAAACUGCCUGAUGGCGGGGGAUAACUGCUGGGAACGGUAGCUAAUACCGCAUACCAUCAGAUGUGCCCUGAUGGGAUUAGCUUGUUGGUGGGGUAACGGCUCACCACGGCUACGAUCCCUAGCUGGUCUGAGAGGAUGCCCAGCCACACUGGAACUGAGACACGGUCCAGACUCCUACGGGAGGCAGCAGUGGGGAAUAUUGCACAAUGGGCGCAAGCCUGAUGCAGCCAUGCCGCGUGUAUGAAGAAGGCCGUCGGGUUGUAAAGGACUUUCAGCGGGGAGGCGUUACCCGCAGAAGAAGCACCGGCUAACUCCGUGCCAGCAGCCGCGGUAAUUC
rnacentral:rRNA from 1 species